UGGGGAAUAUUGGGCAAUGGGCGAAAGCCUGACCCAGCAACGCCGCGUGAAGGAAGAAGGUUUUCGGAUUGUAAACUUCUGUCCUCAGGGAAGAAGGAAGUGACGGUACCUGAGGAGGAAGCCCCGGCGAACUACGUGCCAGCAGCCGCGGUAAUACGCAGGUGGCAAGCGUUGUCCGGAUUUACUGGGCGUAAAGGGAGCGUAGGCGGACUUUUAAGUGAGAUGUGAAAUACCCGGGCUCAACCGGGGUGCUGCAUUUCAAACUGGAAGUCUAGAGUGCAGGAGAGGAGAGUGGAAUUCCUGGUGUAGCGGUGAAAUGCGUAGAGAUUAGGAAGAACACCAGUGGCGAAGGCGACUCUCUGGACUGUAACUGACGCUGAGGCUCGAAAGCGUGGGGAGCAAACAGG
rnacentral:rRNA from 1 species